CUGCUGCCUUCCGUAGGAGUCUGGUCCGUGUCUCAGUACCAGUGUGGGGGACCUUCCUCUCAGAACCCCUACGCAUCGUCGUCUUGGUGGUCCGUUACACCGCCAACUAACUAAUGCGACGCAUGCCCAUCCGCCACCGGAAUUAACCUUUGGCACCAACAGGAUGUCCCGUCGAUGCAUUAUGCCGUAUUAGACGGAAUUUCUCCCGAUUAUCCGGCUGUGGCAGGCAGGUUGCAUACGUGUUACUCACCCA
rnacentral:rRNA from 1 species